rnacentral:tRNA from 1 species
GGGGGCGUGGCGGAAUUGGUAGACGCAGCGGACUUAAAAUCCGCUGACCGCAAGGUCGUGCCGGUUCGAUUCCGGCCGUCCCCACCA